UACGUAGGUGGCAAGCGUUAUCCGGAAUUAUUGGGCGUAAAGCGCGCGCAGGUGGUUUCUUAAGUCUGAUGUGAAGCCCACGGCUCAACCGUGGAGGGUCAUUGGAAACUGGGAGACUUGAGUGCAGAAGAGGAAAGUGGAAUUCCAUGUGUAGCGGUGAAAUGCGUAGAAGAUAUGGAGGAACACCAGUGGCGAAGGCGACUUCUGGUCUGUAACUGACACUGAGGCGCGAAAGCGUGGGGAGCAAACGG
rnacentral:rRNA from 1 species